AGAGUGAAGAUGAUCCUACUGGGACACCAGGCGCCCCACUGAUGGCCUGGGUUGAUUUUACUGAUCGAAUCAGCUGAGUAGGUGUCUACCUCCCUCCUCACCUUUCUACAUGUGUCCUUCCUGGGGCUGCAUGUCAAGUCAGAGAGAAGAAGAGCCUUCCCAGAUAGAGCAUUGUUCUUUGACCAAAGGUGUGUGAUGACUUUGUCUGUUAUCUGGCAUUCUAAGAGAAUAUGGUGUUCUGG
rnacentral:snRNA from 1 species